rnacentral:lncRNA from 1 species
GAAGGUUUCUUUGGGUUAAGAGUCUUAUUCAGAGGUGAGGAAGAUAAAGCCAUCACCCUGUUGGUUACUCUGGGAUUUGGAUCCAUGCUGUGCUGUGUGUACAAGUGCUGACACAUGGCAGAGCUGCAAAAAGCCUCAUUAGAAUUUGCCAAGUGCUGAAGCUAUUAUCAGGAAGCAUGCAAAAAUCUAUCAAGUUAAGUUUAUCUGCCUUACCCAAGAGCCUCUGCAUUUUGUACAAAGUGGAUAUUCCCCUCAGUAGGGAUGCUCUGAACAACUCAGCUCCGAUUUCAAACACUUAGAAAGAAGUGCCCAUAGAUUGCUAUGCUUCAGACUACUUCCACUACCACAUUGGUGACAUACCCUCUUCAAUUUUCCUCUCUUUAUCCAGGAUAAGAAUGCGAAUGGAGGUAUUAGCAAAGAUAAUACUGUAGAAAUUAUCAUUAACACUUCCUAUACAGGAGACAAAAAAAAAAAAUUACAUGAAAAUACAAGCAUCAUGUGUUAGUCUCACAUAGUUGGAUAGACUUUUGCCAGCUCAUAUUAUUUUCCUUGACACAAUCCUCUUUUUCACUUGAUUUAAAAAAUGUGUAUACACAUGAAAAUAAAUACCAUACAGUGGCAACAUAGUGGUAUGAAAAUCGGUGUAAAGCAAGAGCUGAAGUACUGGAUUGUACCGCAAGGGUGAGACUACCGGAGGUGUUUAGUGAACCAAUUCAUAUUGCCAGAGAACCACAGCUUGAUAGGAAUGGCAGUCCUUCUUUGGAAUAAGCAAUGACCUGAAAUGCUCUUUACCCUUUUAAAACUUAGCUGGGAACCCAAGAACAAAUGAACCCUAAUCUCAUUAGGUUGCAUUAAAGACCUUCUCAAAUGAUGAGAGGCAGAAACAGUGCAGAAGCUCUGAUUGACCAACAUGUGCUAUCAUAAGCACCAACUGCUCACAUUAACAGAACGGCAGCUGCAGUAAACCUGGCACAGGCAACUUCCAAACAGAUUAGAACAAUAGCAUGGGCUGGAAUGCAGCUCAAUUCCCAGAUGGAAAGUGAGAACAUAUAUAAAGUCCCCAGAUAAAUGACAGAGACCUAUUUGCUUGAGUGCAACAUUUUGAUGUUGCCUGCCUAUACCGGAAUGGGUUUUCCUGUUUUCUGUUUCUAUGAAGAUUAUAUACAAAGAAUGUUGCCUCUACUGUCCCAGCAGAGCUCCUGUAGAUCUCUGUUUGGGCCUCUGGCAACACAGCAGAAAUUUCAAGUGCUCAAUUGAGUCCUAUGUUAAUUUGGAAUAAGUGCCUCUGCUUGGCCUUCCACAGGGACAUUAGCCCAUCCUGUAGCUGACUGAGAUCAUGUUUUAUAAUGGUAACAUUCCCUGCAUAGACGCUAAUGUCAUUCUAUCUCUGCUCCCCAUGGCAGGUUACCAACAUUAGGACUUGUUUAACAGAUGAGAUAACUCCUGUUCCCAAGUUAAAUUCAGUUUCUGAACACCCUUUUCAAUGCUCUGGUAGAGGCCACAAUAUUAAAUAUGAAAAUAAUUUUUAAAGGCCUGAUCAGGUGCCAUUUUAAAGCAUUGUUUGCACUGAAGAAGGUCAGAUUGCUCUUUUCUCCAUGUCAGAAGCCCUUAACUGCCACAGUAAGAACACUUAGAGAAGUAAACUCCCUGCACAUACUCAGAGGUGAAGAAAAAGCCACCAGAGGUACCUUUUUGUCACCAAACUCUCUCUUCAUUCAUCAUAAGUUAAACAUCAAAGCAGAAAGAAUAUUUGAGUAAACUGAGCAAUACGCAUCCUAAAUGUGCAAGGCAACUUUAAAAAUUUGAAAAACAUGGCUUGGUCAUUAUAUUCUGGUAACAACCUAUAAUAGUUGAUGCAUUGUAAAACCACAAAGGUUAAAACAGAGCACACAUAUGUAAGAAUCAAAUACCCACUGAACAAUGAGAAAGCAGGAAUAGCAGAACUCUCCUCUCCCCUUCCCAGCAGCAUUUAGAUCACAGACUACAUGACCAAGGAGAAGAUUAACAGAAAUUUCACCUCAGGCCAGCAUUACUGUCCACAUGGACAUCCAGUAAAGGCUGAUGUGACACCCAAAAAGAAGGGCAGCACACUGGUUAGCCUCAGUUCUGAAACUCACAA